rnacentral:rRNA from 1 species
UUUUCCUACGGGGGGCAGCAGUGGGGAAUAUUGCACAAUGGGGGAAACCCUGAUGCAGCAACGCCGCGUGAGUGAAGAAGUAUUUCGGUAUGUAAAGCUCUAUCAGCAGGGAAGAAGAAAGACGGUACCUGACUAAGAAGCCCCGGCUAUCUACGUGCCAGCAGCCGCGGUAAUACGUAGGGGGCAAGCGUUAUCCGGAUUUACUGGGUGUAAAGGGAGCGUAGACGGCAUAGCAAGUCUGAAGUGAAAGCCCGUGGCCCAACCGCGGAACUGCUUUGGAAACUGUUGGUCUUGAGUAUCGGAGA